GUAGCGGGGGGGUCCGUAGCCAUUUUGGCUCAAGCGGUGAUGAU
rnacentral:ribozyme from 1 species